rnacentral:ncRNA from 1 species
GAGAGCCACGUGCCCGGAAACAGGCCCGCGUGGUUCGGACCGGGGGCCGGCGGAAAAGGACCCGCCACACAGCGGGUACCUCGCCGCCGGCCUACCGGUGU